AGCAGCCGCGGUAAUUCCAGCUCCAAUAGCGUAUAUUAAAGUUGUUGCAGUUAAAAAGCUCGUAGUUGAAUUUCGGGGUUAGUAGGUUGGUCAUGCCUCUGGUAUGUACUGGUCUCACUGAUUCCUCCUUCCUGAUGAGCCGUAAUGCCAUUAAUUUGGUGUUGCGGGGAAUUUGGACUGUUACUUUGAAAAAAUUAGAGUGUUUAAAGCAAGCUAACGCUUGAAUACAUUAGCACGGAAUAAUGAAAUAGGACGUUUGAUUCUAUUUUGUUGGUUUCUAGGAUCGACGUAAUGAUUAAUAGGGAUAGUUGGGGGCAUUAGUAUUCAAUUGUCAGAGGUGAAAUUCUUGGAUUUAUUGAAGACUAACUACUGCGAAAGCAUUUGCCAAGGAUGUUUUCAUUAAUCAAGAACGAAAGUUAGGGGAUCGAAGACGAUCAGAUACCGUCGUAGUCUUAACCAUAAACUAUGCCGACUAGGGAUCGGAUGAUGUUAAUUUUUAAUGACUCAUUCGGCGCCUUAA
rnacentral:rRNA from 1 species